GAGGGUAUAACUCGAUGGUAGAGCACAUGCUUAGCGUGCACAAGGCCCUAGGUUCAAUCCCCAGUACCUCCA
rnacentral:tRNA from 1 species